rnacentral:rRNA from 1 species
AGAUUGAACGCUGGCGGCAGGCCUAACACAUGCAAGUCGAGCGGUAGAGAGGUGCUUGCAUCUCUUGAGAGCGGCGGACGGGUGAGUAAUGCCUAGGAAUCUGCCUAGUGGUGGGGGAUAACGUUCGGAAACGGACGCUAAUACCGCAUACGUCCUACGGGAGAAAGCGGGGGACCUUCGGGCCUCGCGCCAUUAGAUGAGCCUAGGUCGGAUUAGCUAGUUGGUGAGGUAAUGGCUCACCAAGGCGACGAUCCGUAACUGGUCUGAGAGGAUGAUCAGUCACACUGGAACUGAGACACGGUCCAGACUCCUACGGGAGCAGCAGUGGGAAUAUUGGACAAGUGGGCGAAAAGCCUGAUCCAGCCAUGCCGCGUGUGUGAAGAAGGUCUUCGGAUUGAAAGCAACUUUUAAGUGGAGGUAAGGUUGUAACCUAAUACGUUGACAACUUUGACGUUUAACCGACAAGAAGUAAAGCGUAACCGGCUAAACUUCGUAGUCCAAGCCAGUA